rnacentral:rRNA from 1 species
UCGAAGCAACGCGAAGAACCUUACCAAAUCUUGACAUCCUUUGACAACUCUAGAGAUAGAGCCUUCCCCUUCGGGGGACAAAGUGACAGGUGGUGCAUGGUUGUCGUCAGCUCGUGUCGUGAGAUGUCGGGUUAAGUCCCGCAACGAGCGCAACCCUUAAGCUUAGUUGCCAUCAUUAAGUUGGGCACUCUAAGUUGACUGCCGGUGACAAACCGGAGGAAGGUGGGGAUGACGUCAAAUCAUCAUGCCCCUUAUGAUUUGGGCUACACACGUGCUACAAUGGACAAUACAAAGGGCAGCGAAACCGCGAGGUCAAGCAAAUCCCAUAAAGUUGUUCUCAGUUCGGAUUGUAGUCUGCAACUCGACUACAUGAAGCUGGAAUCGCUAGUAAUCGUAGAUCAGCAUGCUACGGUGAAUACGUUCCCGGGUCUUGUACACACCGCCCGUCACACCACGAGAGUUUGUAACACCCGAAGCCGGUGGAGUAACCUUUUAGGAGCUAGCCGUCGAAGGUGGGACAAAUGAUUGGGGUGAAGUCGUAACAAGGUAGCCGUAUCGGAAGGUGCGGCUGGAUCACCUCCUUU